UACGAAGGGGGCAAGCGUUGUUCGGAAUCACUGGGCGUAAAGCGCACGUAGGCGGAUUGUUAAGUCAGGGGUGAAAUCCUGGAGCUCAACUCCAGAACUGCCUUUGAUACUGGCGAUCUCGAGUCCGGGAGAGGUGAGUGGAACUGCGAGUGUAGAGGUGAAAUUCGUAGAUAUUCGCAAGAACACCAGUGGCGAAGGCGGCUCACUGGCCCGGUACUGACGCUGAGGUGCGAAAGCGUGGGGAGCAAACAGG
rnacentral:rRNA from 1 species